GACAGAGGGUGCAAACGUUGCUCGGAAUCACUGGGCGUAAAGGGUGCGUAGGCGGGUCUUUAAGUCAGGGGUGAAAUCCUGGAGCUCAACUCCAGAACUGCCUUUGAUACUGAGGAUCUUGAGUUCGGGAGAGGUGAGUGGAACUGCGAGUGUAGAGGUGAAAUUCGUAGAUAUUCGCAAGAACACCAGUGGCGAAGGCGACUCACUGGCCCGAUACUGACGCUGAGGCACGAAAGCGUGGGGAGCAAACAGG
rnacentral:rRNA from 1 species